UGGACGUGGAACGGCGCCUCCAAUCAUCUUGUUAGCUUGUUAGCCUGUUAGCUUGCUAGCGUGCUGCUGUCACCUGUGUAAUCCCACCUAGCGCUACUUGCUCAACUCGGAGAGACUCGCUACUUUACUACUACUACUUUGUUUGAGGUGAUGGAGAUCCAAAGCUGAUAAUAUAAUAUAUCAAGUACCAAAGUUCACUUUAUUGAGGAGCCAAUGCCCUUGAACUUGAAAAACGGAGCAGAUUGAAGACGAAUAAGAGACUGAAGUGAUAUUGGUUGCACCAUAGAACAACACUCACACAGUGGGUGUGCAGGGAGCUUUGGUGGGACCUUUGUGGGUUGGCCUGGUGCUGGAGUGGAGCUCCCAUGUGGCUUUGCUCAAUGGUGACUGAACCAUAAGAACAGAGGGACAGAGGGCUGCACACCACGGGGACUCGGGGAUGGCUCAACCUACUGUGGGAGGACCGCAGCCUUGGCGUUGCAUAGAGAGCGGCUGAUGUUUUAAUCAUGGCCGCAGGGCUCAUUGUGAUGUGCAGCCACCUCUGGGGUCUCUAAUUGUCUCAGGCCAGGCUGGCUCUGCUGAUCACCCUGCGUCUGGAAUGGCUAAUGACUCACUGCAAGAACCACGGAGCUUCCUCAUCAGGUGCAUGCGGCUAGAGACAUUCGAGGAGUAAACGGCGCUGGCUGCUUCCAGGAACGCGGAGACCUGUCCCUGCAGCACAACGCAUGUUUCCUUUGCCUUGUUUGCACAGCACACAGUGUUCAUGUCCGCUCCCCAGCCAGCUGGCCUGUGUUUGAAG